CUUUGGAGUGCAGCUGGACCUCACACUGCGCUCCAAAGGCUUCGGGUUCCUUUUCCUGAAGCCGGGAGAGCAAGACUCUCCUGGCUUCAGCGAAAGGAACCCGAAGCCUUUGGAGCGCAGUGCGAGGUCCCGCUGUGCUCCAAA